UUAUUUACAUCAGUGAGGCGGUGCAUUGCGAUUAUAAAUAGUGAAUGCGGCGAUGAUGAAGCACUGGAAAGUCUGCAGGACAGAGUUUCAUUUCUAAAGCUGGGAACGGAUCUGAGUUCUUAGGAGUAUAUCAACAAGGAUUUGUAUGUGUAGACCCUUAUUGAAUCUUGAGCUAUAAAGACAAUACCAUGUUGAUGUUAUUCUUUUCAUACUCCUGUCUGAUAUCAUCAGUAUGACUGGAGACAUACAUGAAGAAGCUGAGAGUUAUAACCGCUUGCUUGACAAAGUGGUAGUUACAAUGGAAGAAGACUCACGAGUCUGCACAGGAAACUGAUGUCGCUGUGACAACCCUCUUGAAAUUGGAGCCACCUGUGUUGCCAAUACAAUCAUGGAUGAGAUGGGUUUAGGUUGUUUUUCCAUUUUUCUGAGUUUCCUCCCAUUAAAUAUGUGCGGUAAUUGAUCUGAAAUUAUGUGAACUUUACAUGAACAUUGGAGAAAACAAGCUUUCUGGCACUCCAACUAAU